rnacentral:lncRNA from 1 species
UUCCCUCCUACAAAACCAAACAUUUUCAGAUGUUGUUUUUUCAUUUCCUUCCGACGCUAUUAAAUCUCAGUCUUACCUAUGUUGAAAUGGUUCCAGUGUGUGUGUGAUGCAUUGCUUCCCUUAGUUUUCGGAGGAACAUGGUGCUAUUCCUGGUGAUUUUGGUUAUGGAAAAGCUGACAUUAGUCAGGAACUUUCUAAGGUGAUCACUUUAUUGCUCCGUUCUCAUCAUACCGUCUCUACACUGUCUACUGAGUUCAAAAAUCCAUGCUGUACUCUAAUUCUGAAGCUUUGGUUUAUGUGGGAUGUGGCUGAAAGAGGAAAUGAGAUAGCCGAUGUUUAAUGGGUUUCCCCCAAUCGACAAUGACAUUUCCUCACAUGAUGUGAAGAGUGGAGCCGCUUAAAGUAAAUGGCGAGCUCACCAUGGUCGCCUUUCUUACUACAGAUUGGGAGCCGCCGACUACGACCCUAUGACCCAUGGUGUGUAGAUGAUACACUGGUGAGGCAUUCAAGGGACAAACAGGAGCUCACGAUUUUCAGGGAUGAGGAGGAGCUUGCAAUUUCCAGGCUUGGCCUGCCCGACCUGCCGACGCAUGUGGAAGACUAGGAGUCUGGUGUUUUCUCUGCAGCGAAGCACAAAUGUCCCCGGGUGCAACUCACGGGCUCUUUUGCUUUUACACACUUCAUUUUGUAAUUUUAGUGUUCGACUAAUAGUACAUCUGUUGGAACAAGUGCAAAGGCAACAUCAUCUUCCAGCAAAAAAUUUCCCCUGCGUUGAGCGCUUCAGAGAUGCACUAGGUGGGUAAAACAUCGACAGUUUUGAGAACGUCAAGCAAUAUUUACUACUAUUAUGUUGUAUUAACAAAUUUAGUAUCAAGUUGAAUGAUAUAAGGAAAGUAAACAGAGAUGCUGAUGAGCUUAAUUAAUUCAAAAAAUUGUUCUUGAUUUUUAUUUCUAGAAGAAAUAUUUGAUUCAUUGUUGUGAAUUUUCCAGGAGAGAGCAGGUUCUGGUGGACAAAGAGGUGAUAAGCGAUGAACUCUUCCAGUAUAAAUGUUGAUGGUCCUAAUUCCUUUAUAAUUUAUUUCUUGAUCACUUUAAGUUACAAAACAUCUCUGUGACUUUUCGUGUUCUGUGAUAAUAUAUUUGAUUAUAGCCACAGACUAUGCAAAAUGAUUAUUUAUGUUCCUAAUUUAUCUUCAUCUUUCAUGGUGGUAGGGAAACAUCGCCGUUAGUUCACACGAGCUAGGACUUCACAAAAUUUGUCAAUAGCAUUGAUCAGGAUAUAAUUUUUCUUAUUCCUUUCUAUUUUUAGACAAGAAAGAACCAUAGAGAAUCUCAAUCCUUAUACUGUAGCAGUACCUGCAGUAGAGCAAGCCAUUGUCACAAAUUUAACAGAAGAUGGAAAAGAAUGGUUGCUUUUGUUGCAGGUUACUCCAAGAAGUGCAUUGUCAAACUAGAUGUUGUAUAUUAUCCAUCCAUCAUCUGGAUGCUUGUGUGUCCUGCG